GACGAACGCUGGCGGCGUGCUUAACACAUGCAAGUCGAACGGAAAGGCCCUGCUUUUGUGGGGUGCUCGAGUGGCGAACGGGUGAGUAACACGUGAGUAACCUGCCCUUGACUUUGGGAUAACUUCAGGAAACUGGGGCUAAUACCGGAUAGGAGCUCCUGCUGCAUGGUGGGGGUUGGAAAGUUUCGGCGGUUGGGGAUGGGCUCGCGGCUUAUCAGCUUGUUGGUGGGGUAGUGGCUUACCAAGGUUUUGACGGGUAGCCGGCCUGAGAGGGUGACCGGCCACAUUGGGACUGAGAUACGGCCCAGACUCCUACGGGAGGCAGCAGUGGGGAAUAUUGCACAAUGGGCGGAAGCCUGAUGCAGCAACGCCGCGUGCGGGAUGACGGCCUUCGGGUUGUAAACCGCUUUCGCCUGUGACGAAGCGUGAGUGACGGUAAUGGGUAAAGAAGCACCGGCUAACUACGUG
rnacentral:rRNA from 1 species